rnacentral:rRNA from 1 species
CCUACGGGAGGCAGCAGUGAGGAAUAUUGGUCAAUGGCCGCAGGGCUGAACCAGCCAAGUCGCGUGAGGGAUGACGGUCCUAUGGAUUGUAAAUCUCUUUUGUCAGGGAGCAAAGGGCGCCACGUGUGGCGCUUUGCGAGUACCUGAAGAAAAAGCAUCGGCUCAAUCCGUGCCAGCAGCCGCGGUAAUACGGAGGAUGCGAGCGUUACCCGGAUUUAUUGGGUUUAAAGGGAGAGUAGAUGGGUUGAUAAGUCAGUUGUGAAAGUUUGCGGCUCAACCGUAAAAUUGCAAUUGAUACUGGCAGUCUUGAGUACAGUUGAGGUAGGCGGAAUUCGUGGUGUAGCGGUGAAAGGCUUAGAUAUCAGGAAGAACCCCGAUUGCGAAGGCAGCUUACUAAACUGUGACUGACAUUGAGGCUCGAAAGUGUGGGUAUCAAACAGGAUUAGAUACCCUAGUAGUC